rnacentral:tRNA from 1 species
GCGGCGGUGGUCUAGCCUGGACUAGGACACAGGCUUGCCGAGCCUGUUAUCCAUUUUGGACAGGAAACCCGGGUUCAAAUCCCGGCCGCCGCACCA